AUUGAACGCUGGCGGCAGGCUUAACACAUGCAAGUCGAGCGGGGGAAGGUAGCUUGCUACCGGACCUAGCGGCGGACGGGUGAGUAAUGCUUAGGAAUCUGCCUAUUAGUGGGGGACAACAUCUCGAAAGGGAUGCUAAUACCGCAUACGUCCUACGGGAGAAAGCAGGGGAUCUUCGGACAUUGCGAUAAUAGAUGAGCCUAAGUCGGAUUAGGUAGUUGGUGGGGUAAAGGCCUACCAAGGCGACGAUCUGUAGCGGGUCUGAGAGGAUGAUCCGCCACACUGGGACUGAGACACGGCCCAGACUCCUACGGGAGGCAGCAGUGGGGAAUAUUGGACAAUGGGGGGAACCCUGAUCCAGCCAUGCCGCGUGUGAAGAAGGCCUUAUGGUUGUAAAGCACUUUAAGCGAGGAGGAGGCUACUCUAGUUAAUACCUAGGGAUAGUGGACGUUACUCGCAGAAUAAGCACCGGCUAACUCUGUGCCAGCCGCCGCAGUAA
rnacentral:rRNA from 1 species